UCUUGGUCUGGGUUUAACAAUACUGGUUUUUAAAUUGGAACCAAUUCUAUUGAUUUUAGUUUAAGUUCCCGGUUCGGUUUCGAAAGCACUUGAAUUAAAAAUAUUAGAUUUAUUCUUUUCUGGUCGAGAACUCCAAAAUCGCCGUUAAAAUUUCUUUCUCCGACGAGACGAUGUCUUUCAGUUUUGUCACUCUCCUUGCUAUCUUAAUUUGGAUCUCUUAGCUCAAUAGAGAAUUUACCUAGAUUAUUCUGGGCAUCAUCGUAAAAUUUUAGAUUCUAAAAAAUCGAGCUUGUUGUGAAUUGUGAUGUAUUGUUAUAUAUAUAGGUAGUGGAAUCUAAUUUAGAUGCAUCAAAGUCGUUGUUUUAGGGUAGAACCAAGUUAAGAACUUGUUGUUGGGUAGGUUUGUUUUUACUAAAUUUUAAUGGUCUUGGUCUUUUUAUUAAUACUCUGUAACAAUGGAUUUGGAGUGGCCAAGGUGUGUCGCUGCAAUGUCGUCAGACGCAGAAAAGAAAUUGCCUUUCAUACCAGAGGAAUAUGGUCGGAUGCGGCAAUCUCUGUUUCCUGCAGUUCGUUAGAGAUUUUGGUCUUGUUGAAGUUCUUCUCUCCACAGAUACAAAAAAAGGGUUGCUUGUUCUGAUACCGAUGUUGGCCAGCCAACUGGUUUUCUUCUCUCACAGUUGUUGAUAAAUCAAUUCUAGAGUCGUAUUGCUACCAGCUACACUUCUGCAAGUCUAACGAGAACAAAACUGAACCGCUGCCUGUCAUUAAUAUAGUACACCAGGAUAAGUUAAAGGAGGAAUUGGGUAUGAUUUAUUGGUGGACGUUCUGAGAUAUGUUUCUCCUUCCCACGUCGUCUCUGCUUACAACAAGAACCUACCAGUUGGAUUCAAUCUGCUUACCAAGACAAUAUAAUCGAUCGAUCCGUUUUAAUACAUAAGGAUGCUCGCUUGAUGACGGACAUGUGUAUAAUUGCCUACUUCAGGCAAUGCAUUAAAGGAAAAGAAGGAAACACGAUCAAAGAACUAACCCGUGUACUCGUUUCUCAUACUCCUUAUGAAGUUCCAAUAUCGAGUUUAACAAUCAACCAUCUCCAUUGUCAGAGAUCCCAAGUUCUGAAGUGUAUUAUAGUUUGAAUGCUUCCAUUGUUGGUUUGGGGAUUAGCAACGACGUGUUUGAAGAUUUGCCAUCAUGUGUAGGUCUUGGGCAAUUGACACAGAGAGAGGAAUCUUGUAUGUGAUCACGCCAGUUCCAGAAAAUGUAGUUGAGAAAGUUGACAUUCUAUUGUAAGGCUAUAUCCAGUGGCCUACUUGCCUCUUAGAGAAUUUCAGAGUUGGUAUUUGAAGAAAGACGUCAUUGCUUACAGAGUCAACAAGAUCCAGUUUCAUCUCCUAAACAGUAAACACCGUUGAAACACUAGAAACUGAGAAGUACGGAAAACCUCUGCUUUAGAUUCAAGCAAGCCAAACUGGUCCCUAGCUAAAUGCUAUAUCGAAGCCAUAAGAUUGUACCAUAUCAUCUUCUCUUAGUCUAAUUCGUAUUUACUAUGCAUAGGAAUCAAUUGCAGAAUUAUUUAUAAUAAGAAGAUUUUGACAACUCUCUAUGAUGUGUCAUUUUACAUAGCUCCAUACACUACAGUUUGGAUAUUGUUGACGAAAAAAGGCAUUUCAUAUCAGAUUAAUUUCAGACCAAAGACCGGAUGGAUAGAAGUGGCUGUCUAAUCCAAAAAAAAAAA